rnacentral:rRNA from 1 species
GUGGGGAAUCUUGCGCAAUGGGCGAAAGCCUGACGCAGCCAUGCCGCGUGAAUGAUGAAGGUCUUAGGAUUGUAAAAUUCUUUCACCGGGGACGAUAAUGACGGUACCCGGAGAAGAAGCCCCGGCUAACUUCGUGCCAGCAGCCGCGGUAAUACGAAGGGGGCUAGCGUUGCUCGGAAUUACUGGGCGUAAAGGGCGCGUAGGCGGACAGUUUAGUCAGAGGUGAAAGCCCAGGGCUCAACCUUGGAAUUGCCUUUGAUACUGGCUGUCUUGAGUACGGGAGAGGUGGGUGGAACUCCGAGUGUAGAGGUGAAAUUCGUAGAUAUUCGGAAGAACACCAGUGGCGAAGGCGACUCACUGGCCCGUUACUGACGCUGAGGCGCGAAAGCGUGGGGAGCAAACAGGAUUAGAAACCCGUGUAGUCC